rnacentral:rRNA from 1 species
UUUAAUUGAUGACUUGUAUGAAGGAUUUGAUGAAAUAUAAACUGUCUCUUAUUUAAUUAUAAAAUUUAAUUUUUUUAUUAAAAAGUUAAAAUAUUUUAAAAAGACGAGAAGACCCUAUAGAGUUUAAUAAAUUAUUAGAUUGAGAUUAUAUAUAAAUAAACUUAAAAUUAAAUUAUUUAUUUUGUUGGGGUGACAAAAAAAUACAUUAAACUUUUUUUUUAUUUAAAACAUUUAUAAGUGAUUAAGUGAUCCAAUAAUAUUGAUUAUGAGAAAAAAUUACCUUAGGGAUAACAGCGUAAUUUUUUUUUUUAGUUCAAAUAAGAAAAAGAGUUUGCGACCUCGAUGUUGGAUUAAGAUAAAAUUUAAA